UUUCGUGGGGGAUAACGUAGGGAAACUUACGCUAAUACCGCAUACGACCUACGGGUUAAAGCGGAGGACCUUCGGGCUUCGCGCGAUUGAAUGAGCCGAUGUCGGAUUAGCUAGUUGGCGGGGUAAAGGCCCACCAAGGCGACGAUCCGUAGCUGGUCUGAGAGGAUGAUCAGCCACACUGGAACUGAGACACGGUCCAG
rnacentral:rRNA from 1 species